GUGCUGCCUUUGAGUCCCCUGAGCCACAGGAGGGGUUAGGCUGUAGCACCACAGCAGCUGCUGGCGUAUAGUGGGACUGCCUGCCCACUGCAGGCAGCCCUGAAAGAAAAGGAAAUGG